rnacentral:rRNA from 1 species
CCUACGGGAGGCAGCAGUGAGGAAUAUUGCGCAAUGCGCGCGAGACUGACGCAGCGACGCCGCGUGAAUGACGAAUGCCUUCCGGUCUUAAAGUUCUUUCGACAGAGAAGAAAAUGCCUAUAAGUAACUGUUUAUGUAUUGACUGUACCUGUAUAGGCAGCCCCGGCACACUCCGUGCCAGCAGCCGCGGUAAUACGUCGGGGGCGUGCGUUGUUCGGAUUGACUGAGCGUAAAGGGCACGGAGGUGGUGUUGUAAUUCAUUAGUCAAAGAUUAGAGCUCAACUUUAGUAAGGCUAGUGAUACUAUAAUACUAGAGUAUCAGAGAGGAUUGCAGAAUUCCUGGUGUAGCGGUGAAAUGCGUAGAUAUCAGGAGGAAUACCGUUAGCGAAGGCGGCAAUCUGGCUGGAAACUGACGCUGAGGUGCGAAAGCGUGGGUAGCAAACAGGAUUAGAUACCCGAGUAGUC